CAAUAGCGUAUAUUUAAGUUGUUGCAGUUAAAAAGCUCGUAGUUGGAUUUCUGCUGAUCGCUGUCGGUCUGCCGUCAGGUGUGUACUGGCAGUGUUUGGCAUCUAUUCGAGAUUGGGUGUCCACUUGAUUGUGUGCACUCGAUGUCGGAGCUAAUACUUUGAGAAAAUUAGAGUGUUCCACGCAGGCGCGUGCCUUGAAUACUGCAGCAUGGGAUAUUGGAAGGCCGAUUGAGCUUUCUUGUUGGUUCUCGGUUUGAUCGGAAUGAUUAAUGGGGAUAGUUGGGGGCAUUCGUAUUCAACUGUCAGAGGUGAAAUUCUUGGAUUUGUUGAAGACGGACUACUGCGAAAGCAUCUGCCAUGGAUGUUCUCAUUGA
rnacentral:rRNA from 1 species